CCUACGGGCGGCACCAGUGGGGAAUAUUGCACAAUGGGCGCAAGCCUGAUGCAGCCAUGCCGCGUGUAUGAAGAAGGCCUUCGGGUUGUAAAGUACUUUCAGCGGGGAGGAAGGUGAUAAGGUUAAUGACCUUGUCGAUUGACGUUACCCGCAGAAGAAGCACCGGCUAACUCCGUGCCAGCAGCCGCGGUAAUACGGAGGGUGCAAGCGUUAAUCGGAAUUACUGGGCGUAAAGCGCACGCAGGCGGUCUGUCAAGUCGGAUGUGAAAUCCCCGGGCUCAACCUGGGAACUGCAUUAGAAACUGGCAGGCUGGAGUCUUGUAGAGGGGGCAGAAUUCCAGGUGUAGCGGUGAAAUGCGUAGAGAUCUGGAGGAAUACCGGUGGCGAAGGCGGCCCCCUGGACAAAGACUGACGCUCAGGUGCGAAAGCGUGGGGAGCAAACAGGAUUAGAUACCCGCGUAGUC
rnacentral:rRNA from 1 species